rnacentral:rRNA from 1 species
UACGAAGGGGUGAGCGUUGUUCGGUAAUUACUGGGCGUAAAGCGCGCGCAGGCGGCUAUCCAAGUCAGUGGUGAAAGCCCGGAGCUCAACUCCGGAACUGCCAUUGAAACUGUUUAGCUUGAGUAUGAGAGAGGUGAGUGGAAUUCCCAGUGUAGAGGUGAAAUUCGUAGAUAUUGGGAAGAACACCGGUGGCGAAGGCGGCUCACUGGCUCAUUACUGACGCUCAGGCGCGACAGCGUGGGGAUCAAACAGG